GCAUCGAGGUCGACGUUGCCUCCCUCCACACCCAUCUGGUGUGUGAGGUGGACAUCGUCGUCCACCCUUGGGCUCUGGCAUCGAGAUUGGUCAACGCCGUCGGUGCUCGACGCUUGCCUCCCUCCCCAGCACCAGAUCCGACGGCAGCACCGAGCCCCUCCAUUGUGCCGCAAGCCCGCCGACGGCAAUCACCAGAGGAAGCGGUGCUUCUUGGCUCCUCUACCAUCUCUGGGUCAUCGCGCCACCACCAUGCCGCCACGCUCUACAUCCCCGCGGACCUCCAUCUGAUGACCAUGGGCGGGCUUCCUCCACCCCGACGGCGAGCGCAGUGCGUGCUCGUCACUAUGCUGGUACAAAAGGCAGAUCAGAUCUGUCAAGGUGGAAACCAGAUGCAGGUACUGAAGACAUAUAAUGAAUGUUGGGAUCCUUUCCCCCUUGUCUUUGAAGGAUUUGUGUGUAGAAUAAUGAGAUGUAUAGGGGGUUGAGUUACAGAGGGAGUUGCUAUCAUCAAUUCAUCAUGCACAUACCUGCUAGUUCUUUAAUUCUCCUCAUACUCACGUGAUUAAUCAAGUGCAUGUUAAACAUUUUUUACGUUUGUUUCAGUUAUAGAUGCUGCUCCUCUCUGAAUAGGUGGCUGGAAGAACCCCUAUCUUUAAUUUUGCCUAAACUUGUAACAGGUUGUGGAUUAAUAAAGGUUACCUUUUCUGUAAAAAAAUGUACGCUCAGUUGUGGACUGGACUGAAGUGCUUUCUGUAAAAACAAACUUCAAACUUCAUACCUUGUUUUCAUAAUGUCAGAAAACUAUUCUUGAUGGUUUUGUAGGUUGAUGGCGGAUACUUGAGAGUAUUUGGUUUAUGUAACUUCUGAGCAGGUUCAUUGAUUCUAGAGUUGCGGCCUUCUGUUAUGUGUAGAUGUAAAUGUAAAAGAAACAGUUGGCAUCACACUGGAAGAUCUUAUGGUUAACAUGUAGUUGUACUAGUGAACUAGGCUGUCUACAUGGUGAUUCAUUUGUUCAUAGUGACAACACAAUCUGGUGGGGUGAGGUUAUCAAUCUGUGAUCUUUCAAGCAUUGCAAGUUUGGUGCUCUUCUGCUGGCGACAUGGGGCCAUCUUUGAAUAAUGCAGUUUCACAUGAUGAUGGCGAGUCUGAUUUUCAGAACAUCUCAUGAAAAUGGCAAUGUCAUUUGACAAACGGCUAUGCUGAAAUAUACAGAAGUGUGAACAUGCCAUUGUUUCCUAGACAUAGUUGUAGCCAUAUGUCAAGCUCAAACCGUUAGCGUAGCUUAGUUUGAAGACAUGACAUCUUAUUGUCGCAUGUAAAUUAUGUUUACCGAUGUGG